CAUGGUAAAGUGAAUGCUUUGUAAAUUAAAUGUUAAUAUCCCUUGGUGUUGUAUGUCACUUAUUUAUGCUAUUUUAGGUUUGUUGAAAUGCCGAAGGAAUACUAUGUUGUUUUCAAUGGCCGUAAUAUCGGUAUAUACGAUAGUUGGCCUCAAACUAAAGUUCAAGUAAGUGGUUUUAGUAAUUCUAAUUACAAAGGAUAUAACAAUUGGAAAGCCGCAAAACAAGCGUACUUGAAAUUUUUCAAUAUGAAGGAGUUGCCAACGUCAAUUCAUUUGCUUACACGAUUUUGUCCCAAUAAUGAACAUGUGAAGCAGUGGAUGUAGCCGUAUACUUAGAGAUCUGGAAAUGGAGUUGGAACAAACCCGAUUUGAGCU